rnacentral:rRNA from 1 species
AUACGGAGGAUCCGAGCGUUAUCCGGAUUUAUUGGGUUUAAAGGGAGCGUAGGUGGACAGUUAAGUCAGUUGUGAAAGUUUGCGGCUCAACCGUAAAAUUGCAGUUGAUACUGGCUGUCUUGAGUACAGUAGAGGGGGGCGGAAUUCGUGGUGUAGCGGUGAAAUGCUUAGAUAUCACGAAGAACUCCGAUUGCGAAGGCAGCUCACUGGACUGCAACUGACACUGAUGCUCGAAAGUGUGGGUAUCAAACAGGAUUAGAUACCCUGGUAGUCCACACAGUAAACGAUGAAUACUCGCUGUUUGCGAUAUACAGUAAGCGGCCAAGCGAAAGCAUUAAGUAUUCCACCUGGGGAGUACGCCGGCAACGGUGAAACUCAAAGGAAUUGGCGGGG